GGGUUGUGAGGUUAAGCGACUAAGCGUACACGGUGGAUGCCCUGGCAGUCAGAGGCGAUGAAGGACGUGCUAAUCUGCGAUAAGCGCCGGUAAGGUGAUAUGAACCGUUAUAACCGGCGAUUUCCGAAUGGGGAAACCCAGUGUGAUUCGUCACACUAUACAUUAACUGAAUCCAUAGGUUAAUGAGGCGAACCGGGGGAACUGAAACAUCUAAGUACCCCGAGGAAAAGAAAUCAACCGAGAUUCCCCCAGUAGCGGCGAGCGAACGGGGAGGAGCCCAGAGCCUGAAUCAGCAUGUGUGUUAGUGGAAGCGUCUGGAAAGGCGCGCGAUACAGGGUGACAGCCCCGUACACAAAAGCGCAUGUGCUGUGAGCUCGAUGAGUAGGGCGGGACACGUGGUAUCCUGUCUGAAUAUGGGGGGACCAUCCUCCAAGGCUAAAUACUCCUGACUGACCGAUAGUGAACCAGUACCGUGAGGGAAAGGCGAAAAGAACCCCGGCGAGGGGAGUGAAAAAGAACCUGAAACCGUGUACGUACAAGCAGUGGGAGCACAGGUUUACCUGUGUGACUGCGUACCUUUUGUAUAAUGGGUCAGCGACUUAUAUUCUGUAGCAAGGUUAACCGUAUAGGGGAGCCGGAGGGAAACCGAGUCUUAACCGGGCGUUAAGUUGCAGGGUAUAGACCCGAAACCCGGUGAUCUAGCCAUGGGCAGGUUGAAGGUUGGGUAACACUAACUGGAGGACCGAACCGACUAAUGUUGAAAAAUUAGCGGAUGACCUGUGGCUGGGGGUGAAAGGCCAAUCAAACCGGGAGAUAGCUGGUUCUCCCCGAAAGCUAUUUAGGUAGCGCCUCGUGAAUUCAUCUCCGGGGGUAGAGCACUGUUUCGGCUAGGGGGCCAUCCCGGCUUACCAACCCGAUGCAAACUGCGAAUACCGGAGAAUGUUAUCACGGGAGACACACGGCGGGUGCUAACGUCCGUCGUGAAGAGGGAAACAACCCAGACCGCCAGCUAAGGUCCCAAAGUCAUGGUUAAGUGGGAAACGAUGUGGGAAGGCCCAGACAGCCAGGAUGUUGGCUUAGAAGCAGCCAUCAUUUAAAGAAAGCGUAAUAGCUCACUGGUCGAGUCGGCCUGCGCGGAAGAUGUAACGGGGCUAAACCAUGCACCGAAGCUGCGGCAGCGACGCUGAUGCGUUGUUGGGUAGGGGAGCGUUCUGUAAGCCUGCGAAGGUGACCUGUGAGGGUUGCUGGAGGUAUCAGAAGUGCGAAUGCUGACAUAAGUAACGAUAAAGCGGGUGAAAAGCCCGCUCGCCGGAAGACCAAGGGUUCCUGUCCAACGUUAAUCGGGGCAGGGUGAGUCGACCCCUAAGGCGAGGCCGAAAGGCGUAGUCGAUGGGAAACGGGUUAAUAUUCCCGUACUUGGUGUUACUGCGAAGGGGGGACGGAGAAGGCUAUGUUGGCCGGGCGACGGUUGUCCCGGUUUAAGCGUGUAGGUGUGUGUUCCAGGUAAAUCCGGUUCACUUUAACACUGAGGCGUGAUGACGAGGCACUACGGUGCUGAAGCAACAAAUGCCCUGCUUCCAGGAAAAGCCUCUAAGCAUCAGGUAACAUCAAAUCGUACCCCAAACCGACACAGGUGGUCAGGUAGAGAAUACCAAGGCGCUUGAGAGAACUCGGGUGAAGGAACUAGGCAAAAUGGUGCCGUAACUUCGGGAGAAGGCACGCUGACACGUAGGUGAAGUGAUUUACUCACGGAGCUGAAGUCAGUCGAAGAUACCAGCUGGCUGCAACUGUUUAUUAAAAACACAGCACUGUGCAAACACGAAAGUGGACGUAUACGGUGUGACGCCUGCCCGGUGCCGGAAGGUUAAUUGAUGGGGUCAGCGCAAGCGAAGCUCCUGAUCGAAGCCCCGGUAAACGGCGGCCGUAACUAUAACGGUCCUAAGGUAGCGAAAUUCCUUGUCGGGUAAGUUCCGACCUGCACGAAUGGCGUAAUGAUGGCCAGGCUGUCUCCACCCGAGACUCAGUGAAAUUGAACUCGCUGUGAAGAUGCAGUGUACCCGCGGCAAGACGGAAAGACCCCGUGAACCUUUACUAUAGCUUGACACUGAACAUUGAGCCUUGAUGUGUAGGAUAGGUGGGAGGCUUUGAAGUGUGGACGCCAGUCUGCAUGGAGCCGACCUUGAAAUACCACCCUUUAAUGUUUGAUGUUCUAACGUGGACCCGUAAUCCGGGUUGCGGACAGUGUCUGGUGGGUAGUUUGACUGGGGCGGUCUCCUCCUAAAGAGUAACGGAGGAGCACGAAGGUUGGCUAAUCCUGGUCGGACAUCAGGAGGUUAGUGCAAUGGCAUAAGCCAGCUUGACUGCGAGCGUGACGGCGCGAGCAGGUGCGAAAGCAGGUCAUAGUGAUCCGGUGGUUCUGAAUGGAAGGGCCAUCGCUCAACGGAUAAAAGGUACUCCGGGGAUAACAGGCUGAUACCGCCCAAGAGUUCAUAUCGACGGCGGUGUUUGGCACCUCGAUGUCGGCUCAUCACAUCCUGGGGCUGAAGUAGGUCCCAAGGGUAUGGCUGUUCGCCAUUUAAAGUGGUACGCGAGCUGGGUUUAGAACGUCGUGAGACAGUUCGGUCCCUAUCUGCCGUGGGCGCUGGAGAACUGAGGGGGGCUGCUCCUAGUACGAGAGGACCGGAGUGGACGCAUCACUGGUGUUCGGGUUGUCAUGCCAAUGGCACUGCCCGGUAGCUAAAUGCGGAAGAGAUAAGUGCUGAAAGCAUCUAAGCACGAAACUUGCCCCGAGAUGAGUUCUCCCUGAGACUUAGAGUCUCCUGAAGGAACGUUGAAGACGACGACGUUGAUAGGCCGGGUGUGUAAGCGCAGCGAUGCGUUGAGCUAACCGGUACUAAUGAACCGUGAGGCUUAACCUUACAACGCCGAAG
rnacentral:rRNA from 1 species